UACGUAGGGUGCGAGCGUUAAUCGGAAUUACUGGGCGUAAAGCGUGCGCAGGCGGUUCGUUGUGUCGGUGGUGAAAGCCCCGGGCUUAACCUGGGAAUGGCCAUGGAAACUGGCGAACUGGAGUGUGGCAGAGGGGGGUGGAAUUCCGCGUGUAGCAGUGAAAUGCGUAGAUAUGUGGAGGAAUACCGAUGGCGAAGGCAGCCCCCUGGGAUAACACUGACGCUCAUGCACGAAAGCGUGGGGAGCAAACAGG
rnacentral:rRNA from 1 species